rnacentral:rRNA from 1 species
CCUACGGGCGGCAGCAGUGGGGAAUAUUGGACAAUGGGGGCAACCCUGAUCCAGCCAGGCCGCGGGGGUGAAGAAGGCCCUCGGGUGGUAAAGCACUUUCAGGGAGGAAGAACGCCUGGUGGUUAAUACCCAUCAGGAAAGACAUCACUCACAGAAGAAGCACCGGCUAACUCCGUGCCAGCAGCCGCGGUAAUACGGAGGGUGCGAGCGUUAAUCGGAAUUACUGGGCGUAAAGCGCGCGUAGGUGGCUUGAUAAGCCGGUUGUGAAAGCCCCGGGCUCAACCUGGGAACGGCAUCCGGAACUGUCAAGCUAGAGUGCAGGAGAGGAAGGUAGAAUUCCCGGUGUAGCGGUGAAAUGCGUAGAGAUCGGGAGGAAUACCAGUGGCGAAGGCGGCCUUCUGGACUGACACUGACACUGAGGUGCGAAAGCGUGGGUAGCAAACAGGAUUAGAUACCCGUGUAGUC